rnacentral:lncRNA from 1 species
CACACCUGCGACACAGGACGGGACCAUGACAGAGGAGACGAUGCGGAGUCAAAACACAGUCAGAAAUUAGUCUUUGGUGGGGAAAUAUUAAAAAAAAUAAAAACAAAAAAAACCUUCACAUGGACAAGAAAGCUGGAACAUUUUGCCGCAGGACAAACUCUACUUCCAUCAACAAAUCUGCCUCCAGCACCAAGAGACACGUCUGAAUCUGAAGACGCACCCGGAAGAGAGAAACCGGAGAGCCAUUCCAGCAUGGAGGGGAGGCGGGGUCUUCUCCUCAGCCUCAUCAUGGCUGCCUGUUUCUAUGGCAACGCCGCUCAGCUCAUGCCACAAUCAGUAGUAAGAGCUUCCCUCGCAGCACCCUGUGACCUCCCCAUGACUUCACAACCUUCCUCCUCAGUCUGCACUCAAGAGGCCGUCGCAGAC